CAUCUUAUCGGCAUCACAGAACAUGAAAAAUGGCCGAUUGUCUACCGGUAACUUUCGAUCACUUUUCUAAGAAGCAACCAAUCUAAACGAUCCGAUAUAUUAUACUAUCGAUGAUUCUUCAGCAUGAAAUAUGAGAAAUCGAUGGCCAAUUGGUAUAAUGGAAUCACCGACCUGUUAUAAAAUCGAAAUCCACAAUCAUGA
rnacentral:lncRNA from 1 species